CUACGGGGGGCUGCAGUGGGGAAUAUUGCACAAUGGGCGCAAGCCUGAUGCAGCCAUGCCGCGUGUAUGAAGAAGGCCUUCGGGUUGUAAAGUACUUUCAGCGGGGAGGAAGGGAGUAAAGUUAAUACCUUUGCUCAUUGACGUUACCCGCAGAAGAAGCACCGGCUAACUCCGUGCCAGCAGCCGCGGUAAUACGGAGGGUGCAAGCGUUAAUCGGAAUUACUGGGCGUAAAGCGCACGCAGGCGGUUUGUUAAGUCAGAUGUGAAAUCCCCGGGCUCAACCUGGGAACUGCAUCUGAUACUGGCACGCUUGAGUCUCGUAGAGGGGGGUAGAAUUCCAGGUGUAGCGGUGAUAUGCGUAGAGACCUGGAGGAAUACCGGUGGCGAAGGCGGCCCCCUGGACGAAGACUGACGCUCAGGUGCGAAAGCGUGGGGAGCAAACAGGAUUAGAUACCCUUGUAGUC
rnacentral:rRNA from 1 species